rnacentral:rRNA from 1 species
AGGACGAACGCUGGCGGUGCGCCUAACACAUGCAAGUCGAACGGUGAACCGGGCUUCGGCCCGGGGAUCAGUGGCGAACGGGUGCGUAACACGUGGGCAACCUGCCCCCGACCCUGGGAUAACCCCGGGAAACCGGAGCUAAUACCGGAUACUCUCCUCCGACCACAUGGUCAGAAGAGGAAAGGUCCGCCGGUCGGGGAUGGGCCCGCGGCCUAUCAGCUUGUUGGUGGGGUAACGCCUACCAAGGCGACGACGGGUAGCUGGUCUGAGAGGACGACCAGCCACACUGGGACUGAGACACGGCCCAGACUCCUACGGGAGGCAGCAGUGGGGAAUCUUGCGCAAUGGGCGAAAGCCUGACGCAGCGACACCGCGUGGGGGAUGAAGGCCUUUCAGGUCGUAAACCCCUUUCGGCAGGGACGAAGCGAUCUCGUGACGGUACCUGCAGAAGAGCUCGGCUAACUACGUGCCAGCAGCCGC